rnacentral:rRNA from 1 species
AGAGUUUGAUCCUGGCUCAGGAUGAACGCUAGCUACAGGCUUAACACAUGCAAGUCGAGGGGCAGCAUGACAGGAUUUCGGUCCUGUUGAUGGCGACCGGCGGAUGGGUGCGUAACGCGUAUCCAACCUGCCCCCGUCCCGGGUAUAGCCGUGGGAAACCGCGAUUAACACCCGAUGGUGCGUGACGGCCGCAUGACGGUCACGCCAAAUGCGAAGGACGGGGAUGGGGAUGCGUUCCAUUAGGCAGUCGGCGGGGUAACGGCCCACCGAGCCCGCGAUGGAUAGGGGUUCUGAGAGGAAGGUCCCCCACACUGGCACUGAGACACGGGCCAGACUCCUACGGGAGGCAGCAGUGAGGAAUAUUGGUCAAUGGGCGAGAGCCUGAACCAGCCAAGUAGCGUGCAGGACGACGGCCCUAUGGGUUGUAAACUGCUUUUGCGCGGGGAUAAAGUGUGCCACGUGUGGCAUAUUGCAGGUACCGUGCGAAUAAGGACCGGCUAAUUCCGUGCCAGCAGCCGCGGUAAUACGGAAGGUCCGGGCGUUAUCCGGAUUUAUUGGGUUUAAAGGGAGCGCAGGCGGGAGAGAAAGCCAGCCGUCAAAUGUGCCAGCUCAACUGGCGCUCGCGGUUGGAACUGUUCUUCUUGGGUGCACAAGAGGGAGGCGGAAUUCGUGGUGUAGCGGUGAAAUGUAUAGAUAUCACGAAGAACUCCGAUUGCGAAGGCAGCCUCCUGGGGUGUUACCGACGCUCAUGCUCGAAGGCGCGGGUAUCAAACAGGAUUAGAUACCCUGGUAGUCCGCGCAGUAAACGAU